rnacentral:rRNA from 1 species
CCCUUAGAUGUUCUGGGCCGCACGCGCGCUACACUGAUGAACGCAACGAGACCACCUGUACCGAAAGGCAUGGGUAAACUUGUGAAAGUUCAUCGUGAUGGGGAUAGAUUAUUGCAAUUAUUAAUCUUCAACGAGGAAUUCCUAGUAAGCGCGAGUCAUCAGCUCGCGUUGAUUACGUCCCUGCCCUUUGUACACACCGCCCGUCGCUCCUACCGAUUGAAUGGUCCGGUGAAAUCUCGGGACGGCGGCUUGGUCGCUUGCGUCCGACUGCUGAAACUUGAUUAAACCAUAUCAUUUAGAGGAAGGUGAAGUCGUAACA